GAGCAUGGGAUUGCAGUUCUCAUGUUACUGAGCCAAUUGAAGUUUCCAAUUUAUAAAUCCAAAGUGAUUUGAUAAGCUGACGGUGUUGAUGGAACUGUUCACAAGGUUGACAUUCAAAUUGGUAGGAGAGUAACUUGGAUAGAAUCACAUCAAGAUCUUGUUGACGACUUGAAGUAGCCGGUUAGUUGUAUCUCCCUGUCAAAUGAUGUUGUUAACUGCUUAGAUUCUACCCUCCGUAGACUUGACUGGUGAGAAAAAAUGGCAAACAACAAUUCCCUUAUAUUAACUCUUAAGCUUCUUACCAAAUAACUUAUUUUUAAAGGCAGGAUCACUGGUGAACUCCUACAAAAGUACAAGGGGCACAAUUAUAAGGCAUGAGGAUCCGCAGUUAAUUGAGCUUAUGUCACUAAUUUUUCUGAUAUGUUUUUUAAGUUUAUGGAUCCUUCUUCUGACCCAAAAUUUAAUCGGCAGGUUAAUUUUAAAGUAGACCACCUUUUCAUGUUUCUUUCAAGCAUUAUUGUUUAUGAGGAAUUUUUGUAUUGGUUUGUGGCCAUACAUAAUAAACGUAAUUGGUGGAUCUCAGGAUGGUCUUAUUUAUUUCUGGGAUUUAGUUGAUGCAUCUGUGGAUUCAUAAUUCCGGGCACAUUCCACUAUUGUAAGUUCAUAUUACUUGAUUAGCUAAUCUAUUUACACAUAAAUUGCUUG